rnacentral:rRNA from 1 species
GAUGAACGCUGGCGGCGUGCCUAAUACAUGCAAGUCGAGCGAACGGACGAGAAGCUUGCUUUUCUGAUGUUAGCGGCGGACGGGUGAGUAACACGUGGAUAACCUACCUAUAAGACUGGGAUAACUUCGGGAAACCGGAGCUAAUACCGGAUAAUAUUUUGAACAGCAUGGUUCAAAAGUGAAAGACGGUCUUGCGGUCACUUAUAGAUGGAUCCGCGCUGCAUUAGCUAGUUGGUAAGGUAACGGCUUACCAAGGCAACGAUGCAUAGCCGACCUGAGAGGGUGAUCGGCCACACUGGAACUGAGACACGGUCCAGACUCCUACGGGAGGCAGCAGUAGGGAAUCUUCCGCAAUGGGCGAAAGCCUGACGGAGCAACGCCGCGUGAGUGAUGAAGGUCUUCGGAUCGUAAAACUCUGUUAUUAGGGAAGAACAUAUGUGUAAGUAACUGUGCACAUCUUGACGGUACCUAAUCAGAAAGCCACGGCUAACUACGUG